rnacentral:rRNA from 1 species
GAUAAACGCUGGCGGCGCACAUAAGACAUGCAAGUCGAACGAACUUAACCAUUAGUUUACUAUUGGAGCGGUUAGUGGCGGACUGGUGAGUAACACGUAAGCAACCUGCCUAUCAGAGGGGAACAACAGUUAGAAAUGACUGCUAAUACCGCAUAUGCCUUGAGUAUCACAUGGUACAAAAGGGAAAGGAGCAAUCCGCUGAUAGAUGGGCUUGCGUCUGAUUAGAUAGUUGGUGAGGUAACGGCCCACCAAGUCGACGAUCAGUAGCCGGACUGAGAGGUUGAACGGCCACAUUGGGACUGAGAUACGGCCCAGACUCCUACGGGAGGCAGCAGUCGGGAAUAUUGCGCAAUGGAGGAAACUCUGACGCAGUGACGCCGCGUGCAGGAAGAAGGUUUUCGGAUUGUAAACUGCUUUAGACAGGGAGAAACAAGACAGUACUCAACAAGGAAGUGACGGCUAACUACGUG